CGGAGAUGAAAACUGUUAUUGGAUAAGAGGAAUGGAAACUGAGAAUGGGAAACGAACAGAGAGAAGUAAAGAACUCGGCUAAACGUAUGAGCCCUGCAUGACAAGGAGGAAUUUCAAGACAUUUACAAAAAUUAUAAGAAUAUAUAUGAAUAAACUUUUGAGUUAAGA